rnacentral:lncRNA from 1 species
GGUGGGUCGAAGCGGGGAUCUGGCCGCCGCUUGGAAAGAGGCGUGCGGGUGAACCGAGCCCAAGUGCGCGGUGAGGGCGGCGGCCGAGGCCCCUGCCAGGCCCUCCGGGGCCGCCCCCAGAUCCCCCACGCCGGCGUGCAGAAUGUCUGCGAUGCAGAAGGAGGGCUUUUUGACGGCGGCGGGGUCCAAGGGGAAGGAGCAGCCGCCUGGGCCGGCCGAGGAGCAGUAAGCGGCCGACCAGAGGCUGAAGUUGGAGGCGUAGAAGGGAGCCAGCCCGGCUGCGAACAUCCUGCCGGGAGAAGUGGUUUCACCACAUUGCCCAGGCUGGUCUCAAAUUCCUGAGUUCAAGUGAUCUGCACACCUCAGCCCUGCAAAGUGCUGGGAAUACAGGCGUAAGCCACUGUGCCCAACUGAAACAUGUUUAAUAUAAUUAUUUGAUAAACUUGGUUGUAAUGUUAUUUUUAUUGUAUUCACUGUGUUAUUUUCACUGUGUUCACUGUGUUAUUUUCAAUAAAUUCCUCUUCUUAAUGCUUUCAACAUAAGUUCCAUUAUGAAAGCAGUUUGGUGUCUCUUUGUUUGUGGAGAUAGAGUCUCACUCCGUCG